AACAUACAUGAGGGUGUUUCCAAACCACCACCUAUCUCACUGGCUUAGCAGCGGCAGCUGAGGAGUGGAAGCCAGAAGUACAUUCCCAUGGAGGAAAGUCAACACUUCAUGUUUGCACAUCCAUCUCAGGAAUCCUCUUAGUCACUGAAGGAAAGCAGACAGGAGUGAGUCCAAGGUUUUGGUCAAACCCUGCCUGGCAUUAUUACAUUGGAAGUGUUGUUAUUAUUAUUAUUAUUAUUAUUAUUAUUAUUAUUAUUAUUAUUGAGACAG
rnacentral:lncRNA from 1 species